CGCUAUUUAUCAACGACUACCUGCUGGCGUCGUCAACAAUCUUCAAAGGAGCGACGGAAAGAAAACGUUUUCCAGUUUUAAAAUAUUAAGCCCCCGGUGAGGACGUCAUUACUUAACAGAAGCCGGUUCAACACGCGCAGCUCCUGUUCAUGACGUCAUCACUAAACUCAAGCCAGCUGAACACGCGCAGCACGGAUGGUACCCCGAGCGCAGUAGGAGGAAGGAAGAACGAGAGGAGGAAGAACGGUAAAUUUGGAAGGGGGAAAGCGUUCUGCCGUCUACACAGCGGGAGUAUGCCAAAACACAUGUGGGAAGGGAGAGGGAUAUUAUUCAAUAAACAGCAUGCGAAUGUGUGCAUAAAGCAAA